rnacentral:rRNA from 1 species
AUUGAACGCUGGCGGCAUGCCUUACACAUGCAAAUCGAACGGUAACGGGCCUUCGGGUGCCGACGAGUGGCGAACGGGUGAGUAAUACAUCGGAACGUGCCCGAUCGUGGGGGAUAACGAGGCGAAAGCUUUGCUAAUACCGCAUACGAUCUACGGAUGAAAGCAGGGGACCGCAAGGCCUUGCGCGGACGGAGCGGCCGAUGGCAGAUUAGGUAGUUGGGGGGAUAAAAGCUUACCAAGCCGACGAUCUGUAGCUGGUCUGAGAGGAUGAUCAGCCACACUGGGACUGAGACACGGCCCAGACUCCUACGGGAGGCAGCAGUGGGGAAUUUUGGACAAUGGGCGCAAGCCUGAUCCAGCCAUGCCGCGUGCAGGAUGAAGGCCUUCGGGUUGUAAACUGAUUUUGUACGGAACGAAAAGCCUUCUUUUAAUACAGGAGGGUCAUGACGGUACCGUAAGAAUAAGCACCGGCUAACUACGUG